ACGUAUUGGCGUUGCACACAAAGCUCCCAACAAUAAAUUACAAACAAUUAUCAAAUUUGAUAUGUUAUAUAUAAUUAUGCAAUUUUCCUAAUUCUAGUUAGUUUGCACUUACUCAAAAAAAAUCAAGAAUUUUGUAAACAAGAUUCAACAAUUCAACCAACUGAAUUCAAUGACGCGCAAUGCUUUCAAUCAACAAAGUUCCGUUUAAUCAACACGAUUGCCCAUCGAACCAAUCAUUGUAAUUAAAUAUCAAUUCCACGAACUUAAAACACAAGACUGUACUGUGUAAAAGGAAACAUCCGAACAAGCAUCGAUAAAUAAAGUCAAUAAAAACUUGCUUGUCUUACGGUCGGGCACGCAAAAUUUGCUGCCGUUUCUUCGAUUCGCAUUGUUUUGCACGACAGUCGUGAGAUGCAAGCGAAUUCCAAGCCAUUCCAAGAACACUGCAAACCGGCAAAGCGGUGGCACAUUGUUGCAACAGCCUCGACCACAGUGACAAUACAAAAUGAACGAGACGGGAAAGCAUCACGUGAAGAGACACCAAGGGGGACUAUCAACGAGCACUAUUACUAGCUGGAUUACUCGACCCGAGGACCGUACAACCGUACGGAGCUAGGAUGAAGCUGUACCCGUUGCUUUCGUUGAUUUUGCUUCUGCUACCAAUUCUAGCGAUACGUUCCUUUACAACAUUUUCUUAAUUUUAAUGCUUCUCGCGUUUUACCGCAUCGCCAGACACUCGGCACGCGAUUGCACUUUUGCUUUUUCUGUUCUGCCUUUUUUCUUCUCCUUCUUUUGGUACAACCUUAUCCCAUCGCACCAGGCUUAAGCUGCACUUUUGAUCCGCUUAGAAAACACCAAGAAACGGAAGCUGGUUCUGGAUGGGGAGCAACGGACACACCGGUAACUAAACUUAGGGUUCGUUUUAUUCUUUGU